CGCUCAGCCGCGCAGGGCGCCCAUCAUGGCGGUAUCUGGGCGCUUCACAGGCCUUAUUUCUUUAUCCUCCCAGUAGGGUGACCAGACAGUAGGUAGGUGGGUGUGUGCGGAUUUAAUCAGCCCUUUCACCCAGGAGUCAGAGGUGGGUGCAGCUUAGGCCAGAAGGACCAAAGGAGAGAGACACACACUAACUCAGCAGGACAUGAGGAUCAUUUCCAUUAAGACAAAACUGCCUUUCUUCUGCAUGAGGGAGGUGGUGACAGCCCCAGCAGCGACACAGAGUUCAGUGCGGGGCAGUGCAAAGUGGGGAUGAAACCUGGCUGCCCUUUGUCCCCUCCCCGAUCUGCCUCGCACAGAGCCCCUGAUCCUCCGCAGAGACGGCAAGGUUUGGUUCGCUCCACUCCCGUCUGUGUUCCCUGGCCCUGGCCAGUAGCAGAGUCACCUGGAGAAAUGCGGCUAUCGAUGAAUUUCUGAUUGCACCAGGAAGAACCAGUAAUACCAUGAUAAACCCUGGCCUUUUAAGAAUUCCGGUCUGGAUUCGCAGGCUGGGGCAUUCAGACGGCUCUGAAAAGCACCCAGCUGUCUGGGAGUGGUUCAGACCCACCAUCCAAGGCAAAGUGCUACUACAACAGCUCAACAGGGCCACAAGGAGCCUGCUCUACCCACCAUCAGUGAACUCCUCAGCCAAGGCAACAAGAGACACGCGAUGACCCACAACCCAGCCAGGAGCCACUCUGCCUUUACGGUUCUCCUGAGCAGGCUACACAGGGAUGAAAACCUUCACCAGCUCCAAUCCAGCCAACAGGCGGUGAUGAUUCAUUGUUGCUAUGGCCUCUGGAGGGUGCAGUCAGCAUCACUGUAUUAGGCCACAUUGUGCUAGGGGCUGUACAGACAGAGGAAAACAUGGGCCCUGCCUCACAGGGUUCCCAUUGUCACCACCUAAUGGCUGUGUGGCAGCCCCGGGCAUGUGCCCCAGAGCCAGAGGUACUUAUAUAGUGCUCAUCAGGAUUGUUGGAGCACUCUACAAGGGAUUUUACACUCACACCCCAAGGAGGUAGGGAAAGAUCCCCAUUUUACAGAUGGGAAAACUGAGGCACAGAGAGUCUGUGGUUGAGCCAGGCCUCUCAAGUCCCAGUCCAGUGCCUUAAGCACUAGAUCACCCUCCCUGCUGCUCUACAGAUGGAUCAACAGCCCCUUGGACACUAUUCACCAGCACAACGCUCACUGCUGUUUAAAAGGUUGUCCCCUCAGGGUGGAGCUCAGACAGGAUUUCCUUUGCAUUGGAUUUCAUCCUGAGAACCUCUCCACAUGCUCAGAGAGGGACAAUGGUCCCAGGAGAGUCCUGCCGCAUGGGAACUCGGAGUGGGGCUGUAUGACAAACCUAACCUUGGAUCACCCCUGCCAGACCAGGAGGGAGUCGUUGGCCCCCAUCUCAGCCAGAGCUGGUGGCCAGUGUGGGGUCCUCGGAAGCAGAGAGGCCCCACUCUGGGCUGAAUCCCAACUAUCCAGGCCUGCGCUUUGGGAUUUCAGGAGUGAAUGGAAUAAAGGAGCUGGGGUCCCAUGAGAUCCCUGCCAGAAAUCAA